rnacentral:rRNA from 1 species
AUUGAACGCUGGCGGCAUGCCUUACACAUGCAAGUCGAACGGCAGCGGACCUUCGGGUGCCGGCGAGUGGCGAACGGGUGAGUAAAGUAUCGGAACGUACCUUUCAGUGGGGGAUAACGUAGCGAAAGUUACGCUAAUACCGCAUAUUCUGUGAGCAGGAAAGCAGGGGAUCGCAAGACCUUGCGCUGAUUGAGCGGCCGAUAUCAGAUUAGCUAGUUGGUGAGGUAAAGGCUCACCAAGGCGACGAUCUGUAGCGGGUCUGAGAGGAUGAUCCGCCACACUGGAACUGAGACACGGUCCAGACUCCUACGGGAGGCAGCAGUGGGGGAUAUUGCACAAUGGGGGAAACCCUGAUGCAGCAAUGCCGCGUGAGGGAAGAAGGUCUUCGGAUUGUAAACCUAAGUUGUCAGGGAAGAAAUAAUGACGGUACCUGAAGAGGAAGCUCCGGCUAACUACGUG